CCUACGGGAGGCAGCAGUCGAGAAUCAUUCACAAUGGGGGAAACCCUGAUGGUGCGACGCCGCGUGGGGGAAUGAAGGUCUUCGGAUUGUAAACCCCUUUCAUGUGGGAGCAAAUUAAAAAGAUAGUACCACAAGAGGAAGAGACGGCUAACUCUGUGCCAGCAGCCGCGGUAAUACAGAGGUCUCAAGCGUUGUUCGGAAUCACUGGGCGUAAAGCGUGCGUAGGCUGUUUCGUAAGUCGUGUGUGAAAGGCGGGGGCUCAACCCGCGGACGGCACAUGAUACUGCGAGACUAGAGUAAUGGAGGGGGAACCGGAAUUCUCGGUGUAGCAGUGAAAUGCGUAGAUAUCGAGAGGAACACUCGUGGCGAAGGCGGGUUCCUGGACAUUAACUGACGCUGAGGCACGAAGGCCAGGGGAGCGAAAGGGAUUAGAUACCCCAGUAGUC
rnacentral:rRNA from 1 species